rnacentral:rRNA from 1 species
GAUGAACGCUGGCGGCGUGCCUAAUACAUGCAAGUCGAGCGAACAGACGAGGAGCUUGCUCCUCUGACGUUAGCGGCGGACGGGUGAGUAACACGUGGAUAACCUACCUAUAAGACUGGGAUAACUUCGGGAAACCGGAGCUAAUACCGGAUAACAUGUUGAACCGCAUGGUUCAACAGUGAAAGACGGUCUUGCUGUCACUUAUAGAUGGAUCCGCGCCGCAUUAGCUAGUUGGUAAGGUAACGGCUUACCAAGGCAACGAUGCGUAGCCGACCUGAGAGGGUGAUCGGCCACACUGGAACUGAGACACGGUCCAGACUCCUACGGGGGGCAGCAGUAGGGAAUCUUCCGCAAUGGGCGAAAGCCUGACGGAGCAACGCCGCGUGAGUGAAGAAGAUCUUCGGAUCGUAAAACUCUGUUAUUAGGGAAGAACAAAUGUGUAAGUAACUAUGCACGUCCUGACGGUACCUAAUCAGAAAGCCACGGCUAACUACGUG